rnacentral:rRNA from 1 species
GAUGAACGCUGGCGGCAUGCCUAAUACAUGCAAGUCGAACGCUGGAGAUCUAGCUUGCUAGAUCGAAGGAGUGGCGAACGGGUGAGUAAUACAUAAGCCACCUACCCACGAAGACUGGGAUAAUCUCUGGAAACGGGGACUAAUACCGGAUAGGUAAUCGGAAGGCAUCUUCUGGUUAUUAAAGGUUAAAAACACUGGUGGAUGGGCUUAUGGCGCAUUAGUUAGUUGGUGAGGUAACGGCCCACCAAGACGAUGAUGCGUAGCCGGCCUGAGAGGGUGAACGGCCACAUUGGGACUGAGACACGGCCCAGACUCCUACGGGAGGCAGCAGUAGGGAAGUUUCGGCAAUGGGGGCAACCCUGACCGAGCAACGCCGCGUGAGUGAAGACGGCCUUCGGGUUGUAAAGCUCUGUUGUAAGGGAAGAACGGUAGAUAGAGAAUAUCUAAGUGACGGUACCUUACCAGAAAGCCACGGCUAACUACGUG